rnacentral:rRNA from 1 species
UUGAAAGACGGCCUAAUACCGUAUGAUAUCGUUUUGCUGACAUCAAAAUAACGAUUAAAAGGGGUUUAGCGGUUAUGGAUGGGGAUGCGUCUGAUUAGCUUGUUGGCGGGGUAACGGCCCACCAAGGCGACGAUCAGUAGGGGUUCCUGAGAGGAAGGUCCCCCACAUUGGAACUGAGACACGGUCCAAACUCCUACGGGGAGGCAGCAGUGAGGAAUAUUGGUCAAUGGGCGAGAGCCUGAACCAGCCAAGUAGCGUGCAGGACGACGGCCCUAUGGGUUGUAAACUGCUUUUAUGUGGGGAUAAAGUGCGUGACGUGUCAUGCAUUGCAGGUACCACAUGAAUAAGGACCGGCUAAUUCCGUGCCAGCAGCCGCGGUAAU